rnacentral:rRNA from 1 species
UACGGGGGGGGCAAGCGUUGUUCGGAAUUACUGGGCGUAAAGGGCGCGUAGGCGGCCCGCUAAGUCGAACGUGAAAUCCCCGGGCUCAACCCGGGAACUGCGUCCGAUACUGGCAGGCUUGAAUCCGGGAGAGGGAUGCGGAAUUCCAGGUGUAGCGGUGAAAUGCGUAGAUAUCUGGAGGAACACCGGCGGCGAAGGCGGCAUCCUGGACCGGUAUUGACGCUGAGGCGCGAAAGCCAGGGGAGCAAACGGG